rnacentral:rRNA from 1 species
GCUAAACAGCUAGCUUAAUCACCAAACCAACAAACACAACAUUAAAACCGUUCACAAAACUAACACAACAUAAAUCAAAACAUUUUACCGCCCAAGUAUGAGAGACAAAAAAGGCUACACUAAAAGCUACAGAAACAGUACCGCAAGGGAAUGCUGAAAGAGAAAUGAAACAAAUCAUUAAAGCACCACAAAGCAGAGACUAACCCUCGUACCUUUUGCAUCAUGAUUUAGCCAGCCCCCCUGAGCAAAGAGAACUUUAGUUCAAAGCCCCGAAACUAGGUGAGCUACCCCGAGAUAGCCUAUUAUUAGGGCCAACCCGUCUCUGUGGCAAAAGAGUGGGAAGAUCUCCAGGUAGAGGUGACAGACCUACCGAACCUAGUUAUAGCUGGUUGCCUAAGAAGUGGAUACAAGUUCAGCCUCGCAAUCCUUAAUUCAAAUCUAUAAGACUAAAGAACAAAAGUAACACGCGAGAGUUAGUCACAAGGGGUACAGCCCUUAUGAAACAGAAUACAAUCUCAUCAGGAGGUUAAAGAUUAUAUUAAACAAGAUAACCUGCCUCAGUAGGCCUAAAAGCAGCCACCUGACUAGAAAGCGUCAAAGCUCCGGCAAACUAAAAUUCCAUUAUUCAAAUAUUAAGUCUAAAACCCCUAACCAUAUUAGGCCCCUCCAUGCCCCCAUGGAAGAGAUACUGCUAAAAUGAGUAAUAAGAAGGACACCCCUUCUCCUAGCCUAAGUGUAUGCUAGAUCGGACCCACCACUAGCCACUAUCGAACCCAACCAAAGAGGGCAAUGUGACUACACCAAAACAUCAAGAAGAACUCACACACUACAAUCGUUAACCCCACACUGGAAGGCACCAAGGAAAGACUAAAAGAAAAGGAAGGAACUCGGCAAAUACAAGCCUCGCCUGUUUACCAAAAACAUCGCCUCCUGCAAACCCACAACGUAUAGGAGGUCUCACCUGCCCAGUGACAAGUUAAACGGCCGCGGUAUUUUAACCGUGCGAAGGUAGCGCAAUCACUUGUCUUUUAAAUGAAGACCUGUAUGAAUGGUAGAACGAGGGCUUAACUGUCUCCCUUUUCCAGUCAAUGAAAUUGAUCUGCCCGUGCAGAAGCGGACAUAAAAAUACAAGACGAGAAGACCCUUUGGAGCUUUAGAUACAAGAUCACCUAUGUCAAGAGCACAACAUGGCACCAAACUUAAUAGCAAUUUGAUCUUAAUCUUCGGUUGGGGCGACCACGGGACAAAACAAAGCUCCCACGCGGACUGGGCCACCACCCAGAACCAAGAAAGACAUUUCUAAGUAACAGAACUUCUGACCACUAAAGAUCCGGCCACUAGCCGACCAACGGACCAAGUUACCCUAGGGAUAACAGCGCAAUCCCCUUUCAGAGCCCAUAUCGACAAGGGGGUUUACGACCUCGAUGUUGGAUCAGGACAUCCUAAUAGUGCAGCCGCUAUUAAGGGUUCGUUUGUUCAACGAUUAAAGUCCUACGUGAUCUGAGUUCAGACCGGAGUAAUCCAGGUCAGUUUCUAUCUGUAACGCCAUUUCUUCCUAGUACGAAAGGACCGGAAGAAGGGGGCCUAUGCUACAAAACACGCCCCACCCCAAUUUAAUGAAACCAACUAAAUUAAACAAAAGGCGGGCGUAACCAUACAUCAAGAUAACAUU